GAGGUACACAGUGGUAAUGAUGACAAGGUCAGGACAGAAGUCUUACAUCACGGAGAGAUACACAGUGGUAAUGAUGACAAGGUCAGGACAGAAGUCUUACAUCACGGAGAGAUACACAGUGGUAAUGAUGACAAGGUCAGGACAGAAGUCUUACAUCACGGAGAGAUACACAGUGGUAAUGAUGACAAGGUCAGGACAGAAGUCUUACAUCACGGAGAGAUACAC